rnacentral:rRNA from 1 species
GAUGAACGCUGGCGGCGUGCCUAAUACAUGCAAGUCGAGCGAAGCGGGGACGGGGGAGUAACACGUGGAUAACCUCCUAUAAGACUGGGAUAACUUCGGGAAACCGGAGCUAAACCGGAUACGUAUAGGUGGAUCCUCGCUGCAUUAGCUAGUUGGUAAGGUAACGGCUUACCAAGGCAACGUUGCAUAGCCGACCGGAGAGGUGGAUCUGCCACACUGUAACUGCGACCCGGACCAGACGCCUACCGCCGGCCUCAGUCGGGAAUCUUCCGGAAUGGGCGGACGCCUGACGGAGCAACUCCGCGUGAUUGAGGAAUGUUUUCGGUUCGUAAACCCCUGUUUUUACAGACUCGGUACCUACUCAGAAAGCCACGGCUAACUACGUGCCAGCCGCCGCGGUAAUUC